rnacentral:rRNA from 1 species
CGGGGGGGGGCAAGCGUUGUUCGGGAAUUACUGGGGCGUAAAGCGCGCGCAGGCGGCCCGGCAAGUCCUACGUGAAAUCCCACAGCUCAACUGUGGAACUGCGUGGGAUACUGCCAGGCUUGAGUCCCGGGAGAGGAGAGUGGAAUUCCCAGUGUAGCGGUGAAAUGCGUAGAUAUUGGGAGGAACACCGGUGGCGAAGGCGGCUCUCUGGACCGGUACUGACGCUGAGGCGCGAAAGCUAGGGGAGCAAACGGGAUUAGAUACCCCGGUAGUCCUAGCUGUAAACUUUGAGCACUUGGUGUGGCGGGUAUCGACCCCUGCCGUGCCGAAGCUAACGCAUUAAGUGCUCCGCCUGGGGAGUACGGUCGCAAAGGCUGA